GAAGGAGUAGCUCCAAUGGUAGAGCAUCCGGUUGAAGACCGGACCGUGCAGGUUCGACCCCUGCCUCCUUCG
rnacentral:tRNA from 1 species